ensembl:lncRNA
GCUGCGGUAAUGCUUUGCUGCAAAGGUACUUGCAGGUGCCUUAUGGUAAUGUCUUUCUCUCUUUCAUUCCUGAGAAUUAUCUUCUACUGUUCUAGUAUUAAAAGUCUGAAAUGUCAGCCAGCUGGUCGCUGAUUAAUAAAGGAAUGACUCUUUCAGGCCUAAAGGUUGCCUAAGGAAGAAUCAUAGAAUCACCAAGGUUGGAAAAGACCCACAGGAUCACCCAGUCCAACCAUCCACCCAUCACCAAUAGAAAACUUUUCUCCACUGGGAAAAAACACAAGAAUCGUGUCAGCCAAACAUCAGACCUAUUUCACUGCUUCAUGAAUUUAAACUUAGGCUCAAAAAAACCAAACCAAAGCAAAAAUCACCCAAGAAAACAACACUGGUGUCAAAAGGCAUAGAGUAGACAGAACGCUGGUCAAAGGGAAUUUCCUCUACAGAAGUGAAGUGUAGGCACUGCCAGAAGCCAGUCAGAGCUGAUGCUUGACCUGUACACUUGAGACAAGGAGCAGAGACAGAUUCUUUGAGAUUUCUGCAUUUGAAAGAGGCCAUAAAAGAAAAAAAGAUACAGAUGCUUUUCAAGUAUAUGGACGUCAAAUGGAUCUGAAGACACUAAAGAUGGCAUAUCAUUGGAUGGAUACCACUGGCUUUCAACAUAGAAAUCUAAAUAUAGAAAGGAUUAAACAAUCACUUAUAAUUUCACUAAAAUAAGUGCCAAGAUUCCUAUAGUUUCUAAUGGGGGCAGGAGCUGACCUCCUCCUUAGCUGUCCUCAGUUAAACAAUACAGAAACAUAAUGGUAAGUAAUUAAGAGAUGUGGGCUUUUGUCAUUUUUAAUUCCAUGAAAUUUUGUGUUAUUGUUUAUGGUAUUUUUUUAACUCUUGAACUAUGCUGUUAUGUAAAUCUCAGAUCUCUUCAUGCAGCAAUUAUCUGUAUGAGUUUGGAGGUCAAAGUGUUGUGAAAAUAUACUGGGUGUAGAAAUUAAUCAACAUACAAAAUGUACUGGAUUUUCAAGUAGGAAAUAAAAUGUGAUUUUUAUUUUUCUCUUACAAAAACACCUCAGUGAUUUAUUUUUAUAUAAGUAAGAAAUUGCUGUUUAGCAGUCCACCCUCCCAUGAAUAGUAGCUUUCAAAAAGAUGCUUAUCCAAAGUGAUGUCUUAAGCACUUUUGGUAUUUCCCACUGUGAAAAAGAUGGAAUAUAUAGCUGUUGUUAAGUGAUGGAGGAGUAAUGAAUUUAAUCAAACAACAAUAAUAAAAAAAAUCAUAUCACCACAGUAGCAUUAAUCUGCAGAACCUAAACCAGAGCUAAAUGAAUGUCACUCAGAAGGCAAGAGGUGAAAUUCUCCAUGCUAUUUGUGCAGCUUCAUAUUUAUCUGGGGCCCAUCAUCCUAAAGCAGAAUUGAACUAGAGAAUGUAACCUCCCAGAGAUUGAUUGAUUGAUGGAUUGAUUUUCAAUUGACAGCUUGUUGGUUUGUCUCUUAGGUGGAAAAGUUUAUGCACUUGCUUAGAAAGGUGGUUUUUCUGACUCAUGCCUUCUUCUUCUAUAUAUCCAGCCAAUGUAACCAUAAUUUAAUAUUAAGUUUGUGUCUAAUACUCUGUGUAUAUUUAUAUUGGCGAAACUACCCAGGCUCAUACAUUGCCUACCUUGGUAUUUGUAUUCAGGUCAGUCAUCAAAAAGAAGUAGUUGGAUUGAAUUUAGUUCUGUUUUACUCACUGUUAAGGGAAUUGGUUGGCAAGUAGGGAAGGAAUUGAUCUUAGUUAUAAAAUGGAUAGAAAUGAAUGUGGUGUCACCACUGUUUUAAGUUGGAGAGGCAUGUUACAACAGAGACUCUGUGAAGCAGUGCACCACUUGGAAAUUUGUCUCACCCUGUACUUAGAAGUGUUAGUCACUUAACCAUAUUUUUCACUCAGCAUCACAUGUUCUUGCAUUUAAAAUGGCGUAAAUCUCUGUUGGCUAUUCAUGUUCCAUCCUAAUGAAAAACAGAAAUAAAACUGCAGCAGGCAGAAAUUUGAUUCAUCAC